ensembl:lncRNA
AGAGAUUGAGAGUUCAGACAGCUGCACUAGACAGAGUUUUAGAUAAGAGUCAGGACAAUAAUCUCUCUCAAAUGUCCUUAAUUCCAUCAUUAGAUUCCCUCUCUUCCUGGCUUCCGCUUCAUAACUUUUAAAUACACCCCUCAAAAGCCCCUGGCAGCUGUGUCUCUGUUCCGAAAACUCUUUCCCACCGCUGGCUGGGAACGGCUGGGAAUUCCGCAUGGCGUUCCAGAAUGGAGCGGUCUGGAUAAUGGGUCGAGUUUGAAGCCACAGCUGGUGGGCAGCAAGUCAGCCGUUCCAAUCCCCAGACUGGAUUACCAUCUCUCUAUUCUCAGUGCUGCCUCUCUUUCUUCCUUUCUCUCUCCGCUACUGCUUUCUAUCAAUCCAUGGGCUGGGCCACCAUCUCUCUCUCUCUCUCUCUCUCUCUCUCUCUCUCUGCUCUCUAGCUAACAGGCUUUACUAAUCCUGUGAAACCAAACCACACACCAAGAGUAGUGUGUUCUGACUCAGUUGGGAAAAUAUCCUGCAAACCAACAUGUUAGCAGCAGACUAAAGAAAACAGAGCUGAGGUGCUGAAGACAACAUGCAUAGACAACUCUAAUGUACUCGUCUUCUUGCUCAGUUGUGCACCGGGGCCUCCUACUGAACUGAAGAGAUAUAGCUCCCAAAACAUGAAUAACUCCCAGACACACAGAUAAUAAUCAACUUUAAAAUGAAGUAGAAUGUUACACAGUCUAUUAAAUAUUUAUACUUGUUCAUAUUUAUUGCCAGAUUGCUGAUGUUGGUUCAGUCUCUCUGUGCCUGACUAAUGAAAGCCCACGUUAAUGCUCUCUCACCUGAUCCUCUUCAUCCACUUCCUCUCCUCAGUGAGUCUCUGUAGAGACGCAGUGACCCUGGCUAGGAGUUCUGGCCACGCCUCCUGGGACAUCUCUGGAGAGAAGGAAGAUAGUGAGAAAAGGUAGCCAGCAUGACCGUAUAUGGCUCUGCUAGAUGUCAAUAAGCCAUGCCUCUAGGUAGUGUGGUUUGGCCACACUGAUAACACUGCUGUAUUAG